CCAGCUCGAGGGGCGGCCGUUGGCGUCUAGCGCUGCCGCUGUGUGGGCGGCCGUUCCCGCUGUUCUGUGCUCGCGGCCGGCGUUCUGCUUAGCAGGGCAGCCAAUGCCGCUGCCAAUGAGCGACGUGCGCGUUUCGGGUCAGUCCUGCCGACGAACUGAGAGCUGCUGUUGAUCAGAAAGGAAAGCGUAAUUACCUACAGAAACAUUUGGCUGGACGAAUCCUUCUGUUUGUAGACAACUGCAGUUUCACUCCAGUACUCUGCCUAAAGAGAAGAACAAAAAGCCAGUUUACAAUCCUGACCUUGGAACUGAGAAGCAGGCAGGUUCACCCACAGGAGGGUUGUGCAUUUGUUUUUACAGAAGAUCUCAGAUGGAGAUGAAGCACCCCGGGUUAGCAGGAACUACAGCAGUCUCUUCCUCUCCUGUGCAGGUAGCCUGGAGCAGUAUGGUCAGAUUCCAUAACAGAGGAAGCAUGCAAUGCUGAAACCAUUCGGCCUGGGGCAACGAAAGCACAAAAGAGGUGUGAAACCAAGUUAAUGGCAGCACACCAAGCCCUGUUUAAAAACAACAUCAUUUCAACAAAGUAGAGGCUCUUCAAUGGACCUGAAGACAGAGCAUUGUUCCAUUUCAUUGUAUACCUAACAGCAGUACCUCCCAGGAGAAAAAAGUGCUAAUAUUGGAAAGUCCUUAUUCUGGCAAAACCACUUUGGAUGCGCAGCAGAUAAAGAAACAAGGAACCAUCCACUCCUCUUGUCUUGAUGUCAUUGCUGUUCAAGUCACUUAAUGCCAUCACAAACAGUGAUGACAACAUCCACUUUAGAGUCAGAACACUUCUGUGCCUUACCCAAGCUCCAUUUCUGCCAGGAGGCAGGAUCUGGUGGCCGCUGCCUCUUUCCACAUCACUGCGUUUCUUCACAACUGAUUUCCCCUCGUGGCACUGUGACAGUGCAUUCUUUCUACAGUGCACUGAAUUGAGCUACCUUAGAAAAGCAAUGUGAAAGUCUCCUUGCUGCUCCCACAUCCCCAGAGGACUCCUGUGGCUUGAUUCCCGGUGCAGAAUAUGUACUGAGCAGCUCAGUGGUGCCCUGUAGGAAACACUGUGUUGCUUCCACGGGUGAGGUAGUAGACAUGCCUUUGAAACUUUGGGUGCUUCAGUACAGUCUCUUAUUCUUCUUGUUUUACAUUUAUGUUUCGAUUAUAGCUCUUUUCCAUUAAAAACAAGUUCAGGAUGAACCCAAAGGCAGAAUCAGACCUCUGGCUGAAAUUCACUAACAUCAGUUCUGUAACAUCUCAGCCUUUUUUUUUAACUUUAAAAAACAAACAUUAAAACAUUACUUUAAGCUAAAUGAAGUUUAUACUUUAAGCUUCCCUGGUAGCUACAUGAGAUGUUACCUCACAAGAUCCGAUGAAUUUCUACAAAAAUCUCUCUUCCCUUUUCACAUUAUAAUUGUCCCUCUUUCUGGCACUGAAGAACAAUUUGAAAAUGCAAAAUAAAACCAACAUGAAUAAAAAUGACUCAUUUCCUCUUAGGAUUUCACUACAUUUUCAGCCAGUCUAAGAUUCCGGGUGGCCUCAUUUGGUGGUGUUGAGGAAUGGGGAUGCUGCUAAAGGCAGUGCUGCAUGCUGCAAACAGGAGGUGGCUGGCUUGGGUCGGGUUGGAGUCAGUUUAGUUUACUUGAACUCAAAGAGAAACUGGGUUGUGACCAGCAUUUUUCAAACCUACCAUCCAACAUCUUUUAGAGCACUGCAGUAAGGCAACAUUUCAGUAUUUAAACACACUGUCCUGGACAAACAGUGCUCUGUGUGGAGGCUGAGUUUUCAGUUAGCCAGUAAAAGAAAAGUGAGCCAACCAACCAACUCAAGAAACUUACAUCAUGCUAAAAUCCAAACCAAUCCUCAUGCAUUUUAUCCUCAUCUGUUCUCCUGGUUUUGGUUAUAUCAUGAAAUUCUCUUUGGAGAUGCUGCUCAUUUACUUAAUUUCACAGACCUUCUCAGUCUUUUCAUACAUUUAGAAAUCACAGUACCCAGAAAGGUUCAUAUAUUUUCUUUGGGACACUUUUUAUUUUAUUUUUUGCUACAGUAUUUAAAUUACAAGCUUGGGUGAUGGUUUCAAACACAAUUAUUUACUCCUUUUGCUAAAGAAGCUAGAUUUGUUACAAAU